rnacentral:rRNA from 1 species
UUGGUGCUUGCAUCAUGAUUUACAUUUGAGUGAGUGGCGAACUGGUGAGUAACACGUGGGAAACCUGCCCAGAAGCGGGGGAUAACACCUGGAAACAGAUGCUAAUACCGCAUAACAACUUGGACCGCAUGGUCCGAGCUUGAAAGAUGGCUUCGGCUAUCACUUUUGGAUGGUCCCGCGGCGUAUUAGCUAGAUGGUGAGGUAACGGCUCACCAUGGCAAUGAUACGUAGCCGACCUGAGAGGGUAAUCGGCCACAUUGGGACUGAGACACGGCCCAAACUCCUACGGGAGGCAGCAGUAGGGAAUCUUCCACAAUGGACGAAAGUCUGAUGGAGCAACGCCGCGUGAGUGAAGAAGGGUUUCGGCUCGUAAAACUCUGUUGUUAAAGAAGAACAUAUCUGAGAGUAACUGUUCAGGUAUUGACGGUAUUUAACCAGAAAGCCACGGCUAACUACGUGCCAGCAGCCGCGGUAAUACGUAGGUGGCAAGCGUUGUCCGGAUUUAUUGGGCGUAAAGCGAGCGCAGGCGGUUUUUUAAGUCUGAUGUGAAAGCCUUCGGCUCAACCGAAGAAGUGCAUCGGAAACUGGGAAACUUGAGUGCAGAAGAGGACAGUGGAACUCCAUGUGUAGCGGUGAAAUGCGUAGAUAUAUGGAAGAACACCAGUGGCGAAGGCGGCUGUCUGGUCUGUAACUGACGCUGAGGCUCGAAAGUAUGGGUAGCAAACAG